rnacentral:rRNA from 1 species
GACGGGACCCGCACAAGCGGUGGAUGAUGUGGAUUAAUUCGAUGCAACGCGAAAACCUUACCUACCCUUGACAUGUCCGGAAUCCCGAAGAGAUUUGGGAGUUGCUCGCAAGAGAGCCGGAACACAGGUGCUGCAUGGCUGUCGUCAGCUCGUGUCGUGAGAUGUUGGGUUAAGUCCCCGCAACGAGCGCAACCCUUGUCAUUAGUUGCCAUCAUUUGGUUGGGCACUCUAAUGAGACUGCCGGUGACAAACCGGAGGAAGGUGGGGAUGACGUCAAGUCCUCAUGGCCCUUAUGGGUAGGGCUUCACACGUCAUACAAUGGUCGGUACAGAGGGUUGCCAACCCGCGAGGGGGAGCUAAUCCCACAAAGCCGAUCGUAGUCCGGAUCGCAGUCUGCAACUCGACUGCGUGAAGUCGGAAUCGCUAGUAAUCGUGGAUCAGCAUGUCACGGUGAAUACGUUCCCGGGUCUU